rnacentral:rRNA from 1 species
CCUACGGGAGGCUGCAGUGGGGAAUAUUGGGCAAUGGGGGAAACCCUGAUCCAGCAACGCCGCGUGAGUGAAGAAGGAUUUCGGGUUGUAAAGUUCUAUCCGCAGGGACGAAACAAGUGACGGUACCUGAGGAAUAAGCCCCGGCUAACUACGUGCCAGCAGCCGCGGUAAUACGUAGGGGGCAAGCGUUAUCCGGAUUUACUGGGUGUAAAGGGCGUGUAGGCGGGACUGCAAGUCUGAUGUGAAACACAGGGGCUCAACCUAUGGACUGCUUUGGAAACUGUGGUGCUUGAGUACUGGAGAGGCAGACGGAAUUCCUAGUGUAGCGGUGAAAUGCGUAGAUAUUAGGAGGAACACCAGUGGCGAAGGCGGUCUGCUGGACAGUAACUGACGUUGAGGCUCGAAAGCGUGGGGAGCAAACAGGAUUAGAUACCCCAGUAGUC